UACAGAGGGGGCAAGCGUUGUUCGGAAUUACUGGGCGUAAAGGGCGCGUAGGCGGCCGCCUAAGUCAGACGUGAAAUCCCUCGGCUCAACCGGGGAACUGCGUCUGAUACUGGGUGGCUUGAAUUCGGGAGAGGGAUGCGGAAUUCCAGGUGUAGCGGUGAAAUGCGUAGAUAUCUGGAGGAACACCGGUGGCGAAGGCGGCGUUCUGGACUGUAACUGACACUGAGGAACGAAAGCCAGGGGAGCAAACGGG
rnacentral:rRNA from 1 species